UACGGGGGGGGCAAGCGUUGUUCGGAAUUACUGGGCGUAAAGCGUACGCAGGCGGCUAUGUAAGACAGGUGUGAAAUCCCCGGGCCUAACCUGGGAACUGCAUUUGUGACUGCAUAGCUAGAGUCCGUCAGAGGGGGGUGGAAUUCCACGUGUAGCAGUGAAAUGCGUAGAGAUGUGGAGGAACACCGAUGGCGAAGGCAGCCCCCUGGGAUGAGACUGACGCUCAUGUACGAAAGCGUGGGGAGCAAACAGG
rnacentral:rRNA from 1 species